rnacentral:rRNA from 1 species
AAACUCGGCAAAAUGACUCCGUAAGUUAGCGAGAAGGAGUGCUUAAGCAAUUAAGCCGCAGUGAAGAGGCCCAAGCGACUGUUUAACUAAAACACAGCUCUCUGCGAAGUCGCAAGACGAAGUAUAGGGGGUGACACCUGCCCGGUGCUGGAAGGUUAAGAGGAUCUGUUAAGAGCGAUCUGAAGCAGUGAUCCGAAGCCCCAGUGAACGGCGGCCGUAACAAUAACGGUCCUAAGGUAGCGAAAUUCCUUGUCAGGUAAGUUCUGACCCGCACGAAAGGUGUAACGAUUUGGGCGCUGUCUCGGCAGCAGACUCGGUGAAAUCUUAGUACCUGUGAAAAUGCAGGUUACCCGCAACUAGACGGAAAGACCCCAUGGAGCUUUACUACAGCCUGAUAUUGAAUUCUGGUCAUACAUGUACAGGAUAGGUGGGAGACAAAGAGACGUGCACGCCAGUGUACGAGGAGUCGACGUUGGGAUACCACUCUUGUGUGACUGGGGUUCUAACCUGGUAUCGAGAACAGGUACGGGGAGAGUGUCAGGUGGGCAGUUUGACUGGGGCGGUCGCCUCCCAAAGAGUAACGGAGGCGCCCAAAGGUACGCUCAGAUUGGAUGGAAACCAAUCGUCGAGUGCAAUUGCAGAAGCGUGCUUGACUGUGAGACAGACAAGUCGAACAGGGACGAAAGUCGGGAAUAGUGAUCCGGCGGUGCCGAAUGGAAGGGCCGUCGCUCAACGGAUAAAAGCUACCCUGGGGAUAACAGGCUGAUCUCGCCCAAGAGUUCACAUCGACGGCGAGGUUUGGCACCUCGAUGUCGGCUCAUCGCAUCCUGGAGCUGGAUUCGGUUCCAAGGGUUGGGCUGUCCGCCCAUUAAAGCGGUACGCGAGCUGGGUUCAGAACGUCGUGAGACAGUUCGGUCCCUAUCUGUUGUGGGCGAAGGAGAUCUGCGGAGAGCUGUCCUCAGUACGAGAGGACCGGGAUGGACCUACCGCUGGUGCACCGGUUGUUCCGCCAGGGGCAUAGCCGGGUAGCUAAGUAGGGAAAGGAUAAGCGCUGAAAGCAUCUAAGCACGAAGCCUACUCCAAGAUGAGAUCUCUCAUUCGCAAGAAGUGAGACCCCUUAAAGACGAUAAGGUAGAUAGGCCAGGGAUGGAAGUGCAGUGAUGUACGGAGUUGACUGGUACUAAUCGGUCGAGGACUUAAUC